UAGAGUUUGAUCCUGGCUCAGAUUGAACGCUGGCGGCAUGCCUUACACAUGCAAGUCGAGCGGCAGCGCGGGGGCAACCCUGGCGGCGAGCGGCGAACGGGUGAGUAAUGCAUCGGAACGUGUCCUCUUGUGGGGGAUAACCAGUCGAAAGACUGGCUAAUACCGCAUGAGAUCGAGAGAUGAAAGCGGGGGACCGCAAGGCCUCGCGCGAGAGGAGCGGCCGAUGCCGGAUUAGCUAGUUGGUGGGGUAAUAGCCCACCAAGGCGACGAUUCGUAGCUGGUCUGAGAGGACGACCAGCCACACUGGGACUGAGACACGGCCCAGACUCCUACGGGAGGCAGCAGUGGGGAAUUUUGGACAAUGGGGGCAACCCUGAUCCAGCCAUGCCGCGUGUGUGAAGAAGGCCUUCGGGUUGUAAAGCACUUUCGGCCGGAACGAAAUCGCGUGGGCUAACACCCCGCGUGGAUGACGGUACCGGAAGAAGAAGCACCGGCUAACUACGUGCCAGCAGCCCCGGUCAA
rnacentral:rRNA from 1 species